rnacentral:rRNA from 1 species
GAUGAACGCUGGCGGCGUGCCUAAUACAUGCAAGUCGAGCGAACGGACGAGAAGCUUGCUUCUCUGAUGUUAGCGGCGGACGGGUGAGUAACACGUGGAUAACCUACCUAUAAGACUGGGAUAACUUCGGGAAACCGUAGCUAAUACCGGAUAAUAUUUUGAACCGCAUGGUUCAAAAGUGAAAGACGGUCCUGCUGUCACUUACAGAUGGAUCCGCGCUGCAUUAGCUAGUUGGUAAGGUAACGGCUUACCAAGGCAACGAUGCAUAGCCGACCUGAGAGGGUGAUCGGCCACACUGGAACUGAGACACGGUCCAGACUCCUACGGGAGGCAGCAGUAGGGAAUCUUCCGCAAUGGGCGAAAGCCUGACGGAGCAACGCCGCGUGAGUGAUGAAGGUCUUCGGAUCGUAAAACUCUGUUAUUAGGGAAGAACAUAUGUGUAAGUAACUGUGCACAUCUUGACGGUACCUAAUCAGAAAGCCACGGCUAACUACGUG